rnacentral:rRNA from 1 species
UACAGAGGGGGCAAGCGUUGUUCGGAAUUACUGGGCGUAAAGGGCGCGUAGGCGGCCUGUUAAGUCGAACGUGAAAUCCCCGGGCUCAACCCGGGAACUGCGUCCGAUACUGGCAGGCUUGAAUUCGGGAGAGGGAUGCGGAAUUCCAGGUGUAGCGGUGAAAUGCGUAGAUAUCAAGCGGAACACCAGUGGCGAAGGCGAGUC